UACAGAGGGGGCAAGCGUUAUUCGGAAUUAUUGGGCGUAAAGGGCUCGUAGGCGGCCAACUAAGUCAGACGUGAAAUCCCUCAGCUUAACUGGGGAACUGCGUGUGAUACUGGAUGGCUUGGAUUUGGGAGAGGGAUGCGGAAUUCCAGGUGUAGCGGUGAAAUGCGUAGAUAUCUGGAGGAACACCGGUGGCGAAGGCGGCAUCCUGGACCAACACUGACGCUGAGUGAGCGAAAGCCAGGGGAGCAAACGGG
rnacentral:rRNA from 1 species